rnacentral:lncRNA from 1 species
UGCUACUGCUACUACAGUUUCUUCUCUACAUAGCACAGAUACCAUUGCUCAUGUUGAGAGUACCAUCCCAGAAGAGAUCUCAGGAGUUCAGACUCCUGAUAUGUUUACUACACAGUCAGAUGCAACACCUCUUCUUCCAGUGUAUAAUACAGUUGGAACACAACAGCCAGAAGAACCAACAGGCUCAGAAAUGUCAUCAGCUGCUCUCAUUAUUGAUGAAACAGAGACAAUAGCCGUCCUCACUUCAGAAGAGGAUAAAAGCUCAAGUGGUGCAACAACUGAGAUUUUCACCAAGGAAUCUGUUGCAACAACUGCAUUCCCAUCAGAGUCAGUUAGUGCGUACACUACAUCAAGACCAACAGUGACAUCAAGUUCAAUCGUGACCCGUACAGAAGAAGACAGUUCUGGUGACCAGACCCCUGAUAUGUUUAGCAAGGUGCAAGCUACGAUAAUUGAGUUUGUCAGUAGUUAUACCACUCCUCAUACAUCAACUGGACAGGUGACAGAACAAACCGGGGCCUCAACACAGGUUACUCACAACACCUCUACACCCAUAGACAUGGAGAGAUCUGGAAUCUCAACUACAGAGGAUGACCAAGAGACAACUCAGACAGAGGGUUCAGGUGAGGAGGUACCAGUGGAGACCUCCAAAAACCCACAGGACCAGUUCACUGUAGCCACAGAUGAGACAGAAAUCAAUGAGACAGAUAGUACAUCUGAUGCUCCAAGUUUUGCAUCCUCAACACGGUCAACACAGAUCAGCCAAGCAUCUAUGUCAACCCAAUAUCCUGUCUCUACUAGCACAGCUGAGACAAUAGAAUCAGCCACUGCUUCAUUGUCUGAGCAGGGAAGUGGAGACUUCACAGAACCCUCUACUUCAGAAAGUGAGAGCAAAGAGGAUGAGAGUUCAGGUGAUGACACAUCUGCUGUUACAACAGCCCCAAUGCAUACAACAUCAUCUUCAACAGACUCAAUGGAUACAAAAUCAGUAAGCACAGAGGUAACU